GGAUGAACGCUGGCGGCGUGCCUAAUACAUGCAAGUCGAGCGAACAGACGAGGAGCUUGCUCCUCUGACGUUAGCGGCGGACGGGUGAGUAACACGUGGAUAACCUACCUAUAAGACUGGGAUAACUUCGGGAAACCGGAGCUAAUACCGGAUAAUAUAUUGAACCGCAUGGUUCAAUAGUGAAAGACGGUUUUGCUGUCACUUAUAGAUGGAUCCGCGCCGCAUUAGCUAGUUGGUAAGGUAACGGCUUACCAAGGCAACGAUGCGUAGCCGACCUGAGAGGGUGAUCGGCCACACUGGAACUGAGACACGGUCCAGACUCCUACGGGAGGCAGCAGUAGGGAAUCUUCCGCAAUGGGCGAAAGCCUGACGGAGCAACGCCGCGUGAGUGAUGAAGGUCUUCGGAUCGUAAAACUCUGUUAUUAGGGAAGAACAAAUGUGUAAGUAACUAUGCACGUCUUGACGGUACCUAAUCAGAAAGCCACGGCUAACUACGCG
rnacentral:rRNA from 1 species